rnacentral:lncRNA from 1 species
UCCUUGAUGGGCAUGGCACUUAUGUGAGAAAGCACUGGAAAUCACUCUCAUUGUACCUGUUAAUAUGGAUAAGGAGCCUGAGUGGUAGUUCCAUUUAAAUUUUGGAAACAAAUUAUAUUAAGUUGUUUAAUAUGGUUUGCCUUCUGUAGGGCUGUCUCAAACAGCUGAUUUAAUUUGACCCUAUAGGCUUCCUCUUAUGUGUGGUUUUGGUCUUCUCCUAUGACUUACCAGUCUUCCCUUACUUUUUUUGUUUGUUUGUUUGUUUUUUGUUUUUCUUUCCUAAUUUUUACAAUAGCCUUGUACUAGUCCAAGAGGAGUCCAGGAGACCAUGUUAUUCACCAGUGCAGAUGGAGAAGGGUGUUUGCUUUUCUCCAAAGCACACCUUUACAAGCUGUUCAGGUGGCCUGUACAGUUCAAGGAAGCUUGCUGAGCAUUGCCAGCAAUAUUCAGCACCAGAGGAAAGGGAACUGAGCCACACACAAGGCAGCAGCUGUAGUGGACUGAGCACUCAGUCCUAGCUGUGUAACUACUAACUGCAGCCCGUAAGUAUUCCUCUAGCUUCCUUGGCACGUCUAACAUCUGAAGGUUUAAUGCUUACAUGUAAAGUGUUAAGUUUUUACAUUCUUCUGCUUCCCAUAGCCACACAGUUCACACGAGUCAUUUACGUUCACCUAGUUAAGAUGAAAAAAAAAAUCUUAAUAUUGUUUUUAUCAGUUAUGAAGAUGCUAAAGAACAGGGCUUAGGAUUUCUCAGAGGGAGGUACCUGUGUUUGUGUUGUGUCUGUCAGAUAAGCUUUUACAUUUUUGUGUAGAUAAGCUUUAACUUCUUUGUGUUUUUGAAGUCUAUUUAGUAUAGUGAGCUUGGUUUUGUGCUACUCCAGCUCAGGCAGCAAUCCUAUUGAAAAGAUGAAAGACAGAAACAAUCACAGCUUUUGAGUCAUCGUAGCUUUUAAAGUAGUAAUGUAGCCAGCUUCUUGUUUCACCAAGAUGACACUCAGAGCCAGUAAAAGCUUCAAGAAGAAAUGCAUAGUGGAAGCUUAUCCCAAGCAUGGAACAGAACCGUGAUGCUCACUAAUGAUGCCUGCUUGCAACACUUAGCUUAUAAGUGGUUACUGAAACUGAAAGCUCCCAAUUCCACAUCUGAUGCAUUGACCCCCUGUGAAACAGUGAGUUAGUGAGUUCUGACAUGCAUUAGAAAGCUGAAAACUGAUUGCAUAUGACAAAUCUGUUACAUGUUAAAUAAACAGAGGAGUACAAUUUGAGGUUUAGUGAGG